ACAAACACACCUACCUUCACACCUAGGGUUUCAUCAGCCGCCGCCGGACAAACGCACCUGCCUCCUCCCGUCGUCGCCACCGGACAAACGCACCUGCCUCCGCACCUAGGGUUUCGUCAACCACCGCCGGACAAACGCACCUACAGUCACCGUUUGGGGAUAAUACUUUUGAAUUUGUGUUUUUCAGGUGACGGUGGAUUAGACAGAUCGGAAAAGCAGGGGAGUUUGAUGUAGGGUUAUGGGGUUGUGGGAAUAAGUUAAUUAGUAGUAAAAAAUCAAUGUUUUAUUAAGAAUCUUGAAACAGAGUGUUGUGUUCUUGACUUAAUCUUGAUCUUCCUGUGUAAAGUGAUGAGUGUUUAUGUUUUUGUUGAUUGAGAAAGAAUGUGAAAAGUUUGUGGGGUUUGAUUAUUUGAAGAAGUUGAGAAGUGGGAAGUUGGAUAUGGUUGUUAGACAACAAGCAGGUGAUUGGAUUUUAAAGGUUUGUGAAUAAAAAUAUGCAUUUGAAGCAAAAACCAUUCAAAAGAUGGAGCUUCUUGUGCUGACAACGUUGAAAUGGAGGAUGAAGACAGUGACAUCGUUUUCUUUAAUUGAUGCUUUUUCAGCCACCUAUAUCUGUUGUUAGAGAGAGAAGAGAGGUGUAUUUAUAUAUUCUUUUAUUUUUAAGUUUUAUACAAAUGGCCCUUAUUAAAA